rnacentral:lncRNA from 1 species
AUACCAGGUGCCAAACUUCAUUAUCCACCCCACCACCUUGCCCGGGAGGGAGAUCUGUGAAAGCGAAACGUGAUUUAAGCUGGGAUCUGGCAGCAACUUCGUGGACUCUGAAGGGCACGUGGGAAAGGAGUUUUGAUUGAAGAAACCAAUGGCUGCAUUAAAUGAGUCUAUAGAAGAUUUUUCAUCUCUGGACAUGUCUAAUUGCAGAGCUCUAAUUGGAGGAACGUGUGGCAGUAUCUGAAAGGAGAAAAUAGGUGCUUGCUGCUUUGUUUCUGUCAAAACCUCUGAUGUUAGAAUAUGUACAAAAAAUGGGCACAAAAAGUUGGCUACAUAUAGCUUAAAGUGGGAAAAAUAAGCAAGAAGAUAAUUCUUACAGGUUCGCCAAGUGUGGCCUCAUGACCAGCAGCAUUUGUCACCUGGAAGUUUGUUAAUAAUUCAAAAUCUUGAGCCCCACCCCAGACUUACUGAGUCAGAGGCUC